rnacentral:misc_RNA from 1 species
UCUAUUCAAGGUAUCAACCCCAUUCUUGGACAAGAAAGCCAAAACAGUAAAAUCAAUCCGUUGCCACCAAAGCAACUAAACUGCUAUAGUAUGAAAGAAAUUAAAACAGUUUCUUUAGGCAAUGAUGAUCAUCAAUCAUCAUAAACCAGAGACCAUGAAUACGAGGUUGAUUUUAUUGUGAGAUCACUUUGUUCAAUCUACAGUGAGAAACGAAGUCCACAUUGCAUGAAAUGCAAAGUAAUAAAUGUAUGCCUCAACAACAUAAAACAUUGAAGUGUGUCUGGGAACCAAUCACAUCAAUAAAAUGGAAUAGAUAAGCGGAUGGCCCUUUUCUCUAACUUGCAGGUGACCUUUCUUCUCUAAGACUUAGGUGACCACCUUUUCUCUAACAUGUGCAGUGCACAAUCCCCCCUUUUUUUUUCUGACAUGCUGAACUAUAAACCAAGAUACUGCAAGCCCACAAAUGAUAUUGCCUUCUUAUAAAAAAUAAACUAAUCCAAGAAAUCAAAUAAAAAACCAGAAUUAAAAUGUGUAGAAGCCAUACAAGAAUUGGAGAAGGCCUGACAGG